rnacentral:rRNA from 1 species
UACAGAGGGUGCAAGCGUUAAUCGGAGUUACUGGGCGUAAAGGGCGCGUAGGCGGUGAGAUGUGUGUGAUGUGAAAGCCCUGGGCUUAACCUAGGAAGUGCAUCGCAAACUGUCUGACUGGAGUAUAUGAGAGGGUGGCGGAAUUUCCGGUGUAGCGGUGAAAUGCGUAGAGAUCGGAAGGAACGUCGAUGGCGAAGGCAGCCACCUGGCAUAAUACUGACGCUGAGGCGCGAAAGCGUGGGGAGCGAAC